rnacentral:rRNA from 2 species
CUCCCGGAACAGUGGCGGACGGGUGAGUAACGCGUGAGCAACCUGCCUGUGUGAGGGGAAUAACAGUUGGAAACGACUGCUAAUACCGCAUGACGCAUCAUUUUCGCAUGGAGAAGGUGCCAAAGAAUUAUCGCACACAGAUGGGCUCGCGUCUGAUUAGAUAGUUGGUGAGGUAACGGCUCACCAAGUCGACGAUCAGUAGCCGGACUGAGAGGUUGAACGGCCACAUUGGAACUGAGAUACGGUCCAGACUCC